GACGAACGCUGACGGUGUGCUUUAGACAUGCAAGUCGAACGAGAAAGUCCUCGGGUGAGUACAGUGGCGAACGGGUGGAGUAACACGUGGGCGAAUCUGCCCCUCGAAGGGGGAGUAACCGGGGGAAACCCCGGCUAAUACCCCGUACGCUUGCGGAGCCGCAUGGCUCUGCAAGGAGAGGUAGCUUCGGCCAUCCGGCGAGGGGAUGAGCCCGCGGUACAUUAGCUAGUUGGUGAGUAACGGCNCACCAAGGCGACGAUGUAUAGCUGGUCUGAGAGGAUGAU
rnacentral:rRNA from 1 species